GUCCACGCCCUAAACGAUGAUCACUGGGUGUUGGGGAAGCGAUUCCUUGGUACCGUAGCUAACGCGUGAAGUGAUCCGCCUGGGGAGUACGGUCGCAAGAUUAAAACUCAAAGGAAUUGACGGGGACCCGCACAAGCGGUGGAUGAUGUGGAUUAAUUCGAUGCAACGCGAACAAACCUUACCUAACCCUUGACAUGUCCGGAACCCUGCUGAGAGGUGGGGGUGCCCGAAAAGGGAAUCGGAACACAGGUGCUUCAUGGCUGUCGU
rnacentral:rRNA from 1 species